CAACAAUUUAAAAAAAUUACAAAGCACAAACACAUACCACUUUUACAUGGAAAAUAUGGCCUGUUCAAAUUUUAAAAAAUUGACACAAACCAUCACCAAGGAAGCCCAGAUAUUGGACUUACUAGAUAAGGUCUUGUUGUUGAGAACAGAAUAUCUUAAUAUUAUAAUGUGAUAGCUCUGGAAAUCGAAUUCUCCACCUUCCUCAGCAUUUACUUUUCACUGUUUGUCUGUAAUCAUCUUUUGACCCAGUAACUUUCCCAUCCCUCUUGCCCAGAGACCCGAUCCCCUGUCAGGUGUGCCCCUGGUGCUCAGCGAGGGUGUGGACCGGGGCUGCCUUGCCUGACAGGCACGCAGACCUCGCCUGCCUCCUUUGGUCCUCUCCUCGAAGCUCUGCACUGUGAUUCGCAUUCUGAGCACCGGGAUCAGCCAAAGAUGAACCCUAAGGUCUCUCCAGGACUUUUCUGCGCAUGAAUCUCGUCAUGGGUGUGGGUGUGGCUUUGCAAAUUCUCCUGGAUACACCUGCACUUUUGAAUGCCCUGAGUCUCCAAAGAAAUUCUCUCCCUGAUCUUUUCUCCCACUGCGUGGGUCAUCUGUCGGGUCUCAGUCUUGCUACAGGUUGUUUCCCGCCAUCCAAUGCGCCAACUGUUACCCUAGAAAUUAAAAGAUACAAGCUCAGUACAUUACAGGCAACAGAAGACCUAUAGCAUUUAUCCUAGCACCAGUUAAUUUAUCAAAUUCAUUUUCUUUAUCUACUGCAAAUUAUUUUUACAAGUCAAAGAUUAUUUACUUAGAGUUAAUUAUUUCCAACUCACACAGUACACAUCCAUGUUGGGAGCUGUCAAAGUUCAAAAAUAUCCAAAGUCCAGAGGAAAAUAUUUUAAAUGGAAGAAAAAUCUUGGUCACCUUCCAGACUUUUUGCCAAGAAAAGGAUCAAAUUAACACAGCUAUCAACGUUCUAGCGCUGCUGUAACAAAACGCCAAGGACAAGGUGACUGCCUGCUGCCCGAGGUCCAGGAGGGCGGCGUCCACAGCCUCUCUGCCUCAUGGACCUUCGGUGUGCCUGUGUCCUGCCCUUUUCAAAACAGCAGUCAGCUGAAUUCAGACCCCUAACCCGAGAAGGCCUGGUCCUAGCUGAAUCGCCUGUUUACUAUCUGUGGUGGUUAAGGUCAUUCUAAGUGGGAACGCCCAGCUGAGCCGAG
rnacentral:lncRNA from 1 species